AGCAGUUCUCAGGUGAUACACCCCAAAAUCAGUCUCCCUCCUCUCUGGUUCUAGGUGUGUCACCCGUGAACUGCA
rfam:Myotis lucifugus cont2.32716, whole genome shotgun sequence.